rnacentral:rRNA from 1 species
GAUGAACGCUAGCGAUAGGCCUAACACAUGCAAGUCGAGGGGCAGCACAUGAGUAGCAAUACGAUGGUGGCGACCGGCGCACGGGUGAGUAACACGUAUGCAACCUACCUUUAACAGGGGAAUAACCCGUUGAAAAACGGACUAAUACUCCAUAACACAGGGGUCCCGCAUGGGAAUAUUUGUUAAAGAUUUAUCGGUUGUAGAUGGGCAUGCGUUCCAUUAGCUAGUUGGUGAGGUAAGGGCUCACCAAGGCAACGAUGGAUAGGGGAACUGAGAGGUUUAUCCCCCACACUGGAACUGAGACACGGUCCAGACUCCUACGGGAGGCAGCAGUGAGGAAUAUUGGUCAAUGGAGGCAACUCUGAACCAGCCAAGUCGCGUGAAGGAUGAAGGUCUUAUGGAUUGUAAACUUCUUUUGCAAGGGAAUAAAGUGGGGGACGUGUCCUCCUUUGCAUGUACCUUGCGAAUAAGGAUCGGCUAACUCCGUGCCAGCAGCCGCGGUAAUACGGAGGAUCCGAGCGUUAUCCGGAUUUAUUGGGUUUAAAGGGUGCGCAGGCGGGAUGUUAAGUCGGCGGUGAAAUUUUGCAGCUCAACUGUAAAAGUGCCUUCGAUACUGGCUUUCUUGAGUGUGGAUGAAGUAGGCGGAAUUUGUGGUGUAGCGGUGAAAUGCUUAGAUAUCACGAGGAACUCCGAUUGCGCAGGCAGCUUACUAAACCACUACUGACGCUCAUGCACGAAGGCGUGGGGAUCAAACA